GUGCCAACAGCCGCGGUAAAACGUAGGUGGCGAGCGUUGUCCGGAAUUACUGGGUGUAAAGGGCGCGUAGGCGGGGGAGCAAGUCAGGUGUGAAAUACCACGGCUCAACCGUGGGGGUGCAUCUGAAACUGUUCUUCUUGAGUGCUGGAGAGGAAAGCGGAAUUCCUAGUGUAGCGGUGAAAUGCGUAGAGAUUAGGAGGAACACCAGUGGCGAAGGCGGCUUUCUGGACAGUAACUGACGCUGAGGCGCGAAAGCGUGGGGAGCAAACAGGAUUAGAUACCCUGGUAGUCCACGCCGUAAACGAUGGAUACUAGGUGUAGGAGGUAUCGACCCCUUCUGUGCCGGAGUUAACACAAUAAGUAUCCCACCUGGGGAGUACGGCCGCAAGGUUGAAACUCAAAUGAAUUGGCGG
rnacentral:rRNA from 1 species